rnacentral:lncRNA from 1 species
AGUAUUACACCAAGGAAAACGUUCCAGAAACGUCGAUAAGCCGGUGGUGAAUUACUGCCAUCGGAACAUUUACGGCAUUCAAAGACAGAAAAAACUUCAUCUUGAAAAAUCACAAUCCAAAAACAACAGCCAUUCUUACACCAAUUCAUAAAAAAUAUGUGAACCACUUUAUCCCUAAAUACUGCAAAAACAUCAAAAUGAGGGAACAGUGGAACAACAGAGGGUCUUUAAAAGUGUUAUUCUUUGUCGCCCUUUGUUUCUGAGUAAUGCUCACGAUGAUGCUGAUUCAACCACUGCUCUUCUGGGAUCGGGGACCCCAGAAAAGAACCCACCGCCCGAGAGCCAAAGUGGAGGGGUGACCCUCCUCCCCUUUUCCUGCCUCAGCCUCCCAAGUAGCUGGAACUACAGGCAUGCCUCACCAUACUUUGCCCCUUCUACUUUUGUAGAGCCAAGCCUGACCUUCCUGGACUGUUGUUUUCAAGCAUAAUAUCUCUGGUACAACAUUGAUACAAUCCACAUGAGUUCUUUAAGUAAGUGGCUAGUUACUUGGGGAUUCAAAGGAUCAUCUUGUCUCAGACUUUGGGUUCCUAUUGUCAAUACUUAAAUUCUAUGAUAGGAUGCCCCAGGAAAGAAGGAAUACAAGGCCGAGCUGCGUGGUGACUUUCAGGGGCCCUAUUUUUGCCUUAGUAGGCCUUUCUCUCCAUAAAACAGUUAAUAAAAAUUUCAUUUUAUAGUCACAUUGCUAUGAAGAUGAUUAUAUUAAAAUGAUAUCAUAAAA